AUCUAAUUUUACGAUUUUGAUGUGGAAUUGCAUAGUAUGAGCUGAGACCUAUGCACUUGUAUGGUUGGGUGUUGUAGUCCAUCUGAUCUUUUCCUUCAUUGGAAAUGGUCUAGCACUGUCUAGUGUUUAGAAAAGAUAUGCUUUGCUCUUUUGUAUAAGUAUAAAUCACAACUACUUUGUCAUAGUCCACAUGAUGAAUUUGUAUAAAAAUUUGAAUGUUUCAAUUGGUAGGACCUAAAAGAUAGGACUUGUUUACUGUGGUAAUACACUUUUAAUUUGAUUCAUUUUAACUUGUUCUGUGCUUUGACAUAAAAUUUUCUUUGACACACUUUUGAA
rnacentral:misc_RNA from 1 species